rnacentral:lncRNA from 1 species
UAUCACUGAAAUCAUUAAUAUGAAUUUCACUUAAACCAUUAAUAACAGUCACUCUCUAUAACAUUUCAAAAAUAACCAAUCAAAUAUUUUGGACUCAAAUUUAGAAAGGUAGCAGUUUGUAAAGGCAUUCUAGCAUAAUUGCCAAUUUAAUAUGUAUAGAAAAACUCUUAUAGAAAUUCAAGAAUACGAAAUUAUCACAAUUUAUGGGAUAUCAAUCCACAAAUAAACAGUUCGCAAUAAUACUAUAAUCAAUUGCAAAAAUGUCAAUUUUUAAAUAAUAAGGCAGUUAUCUGCACAUGAAUUUUACAAUGUCUAAAUAUUCAAAACAGUAGAAAGAAAUAUCACAAUUUUACUAAAAGCAGAAAUAUCACAUUUCUUUCUAACAAUAGACAAGAAAAAUAAAUAAAUUUAUU